CUGAGUGUUAGAAAGAGCCUUUUAUUUCAGAAAGUACAGUAGAAGCAGCACUUCCCAUUGUUAUAUUGAACAGCAAAAUGUCUCUGAGGCAAGGAAAAUGUCGUCAAGUUUAGCUACUUUGAAGUAACACUAACACAAAAUUCUUCGUCUGUUUGUUCGUUUCUCUCAACCACAGACAAGCUGCCAUUGCCGAGAAAAAUCGUGCCCGGGUGUUGGGAGGUCUCCCAGACGUGGUCACCAUCCAGGAGGGGAAGGCCCUUAAUCUCACUUGCAACGUGUGGGGAGACCCGCCUCCGGAGGUGUCGUGGUUGAAGAACGAGAAGGCCCUGGCCUCAGACGACCACUGCAACCUCAAGUUCGAGGCUGGGAGGACCGCGUACUUCACCAUCAACGGCGUGAGCACCGCUGACUCGGGCAAAUACGGGCUGGUUGUGAAGAACAAGUAUGGCUCGGAGACCAGCGACUUCACCGUCAGCGUGUUCAUCCCAGAGGAGGAGGCGAGGAUGGCCGCCUUGGAGUCCCUGAAAGGUGGCAAGAAGGCCAAG
rnacentral:lncRNA from 1 species